rnacentral:rRNA from 1 species
UACGUAGGGGCAAGCGUUAUCCGGAUUUACUGGGUGUAAAGGGAGCGCAGACGGAACUGCAAGUCUGAUGUGAAAGCCCGGGGCUCAACCGCGGGACUGCAUUGGAAACUGUAGAUCUGGAGUGCCGGAGGGGCAAGCGGAAUUCCUGGUGUAGCGGUGAAAUGCGUAGAUAUCAGGAGGAACACCGGCGGCGAAGGCGGCUUGCUGGACGGCAACUGACGUUGAGGCUCGAAAGCGUGGGGAGCAAACAGGAUUAGAUACCCGCGUAGU